GUCCUCCACUUGCUCACAUUCUUCUUGAAUUAUUGCAAGAAAGAGAUAAGAAAAGAAACCAAGACCAUGUGCUUUGCCCUCUCUGGGGACAUCAGGAAAGCCAUAGUCAACUCCAAACAUCCUUGGACGAGUUUCACCCACCAGUCUGUAGUACCAUUUCAUAUUAGCCCACCUACAAAUUAGGACUGAACUGUGAGGCUUCAAAUUUUCAUUGUCUCUAGCCAAGAGAGAAUGUAAAAUGGCUUCAUCAGGUGCAGCAAAGAAGCACUUCAGAAUCCACCCAUAACUCAACAGACACAAAGUAAAUGUAUUCAAUAAAUAUUUUAUUUUGACACAUAGUA